rnacentral:rRNA from 1 species
AUUGAACGCUGGCGGCAUGCUUUACACAUGCAAGUCGAACGGUAACAGGCCUUCGGGUGCUGACGAGUGGCGAACGGGUGAGUAAUGCAUCGGAACGUGCCCAAUCGUGGGGGAUAACGUAGCGAAAGUUACGCUAAUACCGCAUAAGCCCUGAGGGGGAAAGUGGGGGACCGCAAGGCCUCACGCGAAUGGAGCGGCCGAUGUCAGAUUAGCUAAUUGGUGGGGUAAAGGCCCACCAAGGCGACGAUCUGUAGCGGGUCUGAGAGGAUGAUCCGCCACACUGGGACUGAGACACGGCCCAGACUCCUACGGGAGGCAACAGUGGGGAAUUUUGGACAAUGGGCGCAAGCCUGAUCCAGCCAUGCCGCGUGCGGGACGAAGGCC